CCUCUUCAGCUGCUGUGACCGCAGUGGCCUUGCCCUCCUCCUCCUCUUCCUCCCACACAUUCACAGGUCACCUGUUACAUCCAGGGGCCCUCCUGGGUCCCUCCACACUCGUCUGCAAGGUUUUACAUCUGCCUCUUGCUCUUGGUUUUGCACAGAUGGGACAGAGAGGUCUGCAAAGUACCCCAGGUCUUUUUAUUUUCUACCAAGGAAGAGGUGUCCUGGCCUGUGUGUCAGCAGCUGCCCUCCUGGGGCCUGAGUUAGUGCCCCAAGUUACCUUAGUGUUUCUUAGGCAAACUGCACUCAGAAAUGUCAACUGCUUGGUGUCGGUCCUGGAGGUGGCCAGAUGAGCUGAGCUCGUAACUGGGAAGACACAGGGUCUUUGAGGUGGGCUGCAUGGUCAGCACCUGGAGCUAGUAUUUGGUUCCCAAGAGGCCAGGCUACCUAGCAGUAUCACAACCUGGAAAAGACCAGAACACUUCAAACCCUCCGGCACCACCCCCCCAUUGCAGGUGCUCCCCCGACUCUCUCUCAGGGAAGCUUUUUCCUCUUAGCAUCCACCUUCUUUGUGAUACCCGUGGUGACCAUGUUGACCGCCCCCAUACUGAGAGGCCCUGAGGCAGGGCAGUGUGGGAGAUGAAGGCAGAUGAGAAGGUCCCUCUCUUUGUCAGACCCAGAGACUGGGAAGCCUGUUGUGUAUCAGCCUGUGACUAGUUAGAGUGACAGGCACCCCUAGGAGGGCUGGGUGGUGGACGGGUUUGAAUGGGAGGGAUGGGGCACCAAGCCUGAGCCUCGUGAGACGAGUUGAAGUCUGUCAAGCAAGGCGAAGGGGAAAGGCACCACAGAAAUGCAGAGGCUUGACUACUGGGGACAGAGGACAAGUGGCACCGAGGGGCUGCACCAGUGGGCUGAGGCUACCCAGGCAGAGACGAGACUGGCCAGUGCUGCUUAGAUGGGAGUGGGUGCUGAACUCCAGGAUAAGGGGUGUGCUCUGUCAUGAGUGACUGGGAGCUGGGGAGGUGGUAGAGUGAGGGUUUGAGUUUUGAGACAAUUGCAGGUGGCCUUUUUUCCUGAUCCCCCCUGUGGAAUAGUGAAGAUGUGUAAAAUGUUCAGUUUCUGUGCAGGAAUGAACAGGGUUGUCCAGCUGUGACCUCCAGGCACCGAUUCUCUGAUUGCACUGCCUCUGCUGUAUGUACUGAGAGUCUCAGCACCGCCAGAUCCUCCCGCCUUGCUCCCCAGACCCGCUCCGCCGACCUUGUGGGGCUGGGAGGGAAAGCGAGGUAGCUGCUGGCUCCGGCACAGCCCUCGUGGACUCUGGCCAACAGGAAAUGGAGCGGGCAGUGUCCCAACCUGAUUCACCGAGCCGUGGGUCUCCCUGUGCUUCUGCAGGCGCCAUCACGCUGCUCCUGGCCUAAAAACAGUGUUCCCAGACCUACAUCCACAGCCGAGAGCCCAGGGCACGUGCUUGCCGGCCAGCUUCCCCCAGGGCGGCCUUAAUGGGCAGGAAAAGAGGGUCGGUGUCGGAACCCGAAGUGGCCACCACUGUGUGAUCAUUGACUUUGAAAUCAACAUGCCUGAUGGGUCAGGUGACUUCUGCAGCGCUGGCUGGACAGAAGGGACAGGAGGAAGCAUGUCCCUGGGAUCCCGGGCCGUCUGUCUUCCUCCUUCACCUUCUCAUCUCUAAGGGGAAGAGGGAAAAGGCCUUUUCCGCAAACUCUUUUCUGGACCGUGUGGCCCUGGCGAUGACAGGCGAUGGCCACACCGUGCCAAGGGCAGAGCACCCCAGGCAGUUUGCCCGCUUAUGAAGAGCUGCCUCCCUCCGCGGAGCUCCCGCCCUGGAUGUGGGCCUGGGAUGGGCGCGGAGCGGCAGCCACCCAUCUGUCCCAUUUACAGGUCAACAAACCGAGGCCUCGAGGCAGGAAGCAACGGGCCCAAGGUCGCACAGGGGAGCCGUGGCUGAGGGGGCAUCCCAUCAUUCUGAAGCUGGUCAUGAUCUCCGAGGCUGGCCAGGGCCCAGUGCUGGCACAAGGCCACCUAGAGAUGGACAGUCUGUACUCACGCUGCCCUGUUCCCAUGGGCACGGAGGACAUGGCUUUCUCCUUGUUCCUUUGCCCUUCCUCCUGGAAGCCAGGCCCAGAGCCAGGCCUGGGCAUGACCCCGAGCUCCCUGGCCCUGGGUUUGCUCCUCGGUUUCUGAAGCUCCGGGGGUUGUUUAAUGUAAGCGGGGGAAAGAAUGAAGUAGCGGGGCAGAGCCGCUGGUCACCAGGAUCUGCGCGUGCCUGGGAAGAGAAGGCAGUGCUGUCCGCGUGGAGCCCUGGCGGGGCUGGGCUGCGUCAUUUGAUUCUGGAAAGCCUGUCACCUGGGGGCUCUGCGUACUCUGCGGCUGGCCCAGAUCAUCUCUCAACAUCACCAUCAGUGCCCUCUGCUGUUAGUGACCGGCUGGGGGAUUCCGGGACCUGGCUCUCCAGCUGCUUCCCACCUCCUCAAGUAGCCUCUCCUGAAAGCCAUGAUGACGGUUCUGCUGGCUUCAAACAUUUCAAACCCUAAAGCCUGUAGGACUUUAUUGGGCACAUCUGUAAGAGCAGUUGCUGCUCGUAACGCGCCCGUCACAUCCCUGUGGAACAUGAAGGAAAUUUUUGCAAAAUUAUUAUUUUAGCCCCAAACUUUGUCAGCCUGUGGAUUAGGUCAGUGAUCUUGGGAGGAUCAUUAAUUAUUACAGUUUUGGAGUGAAGUAAUUUAGCUGCUGACAAAUUUCAUAGUUUUCCACCUUAUGGACUGUUACUUUGAGACCAUAGCUGUAAAAACUAGCCUUGUGGGAUGGGCACCCACCAGGAUGAGGGGUGAUAAAUCAGUUUGGAAAGUGCCUGGGUACCGUGCAGGCAGAUAUUUGGGGCAGGUUUUAUUAAGACAUUGUGAGCCUCUGACCUCAGCUGCUUCUCUUUUUUCUGGGAGGGGACCAAGCCCCUCCCCCAUUCUGCACUUGGCUGCCAGGUACUCUGUGCCUCCAUCCCACUGUUGGAGUCGCCGCGCGUCUUCAAGAUUCUGCCUGCUGUCCUGGCCGCGUGCAGGGUGUGCACCUGCUGUUUGAGGUCGUUCUCAGAGUCAGACUGGAGACUUGGACUAAUCUGGAUUUAAGUCCAAGUUCAUGCUCUCACUUGCUCUUUGGUUCUUGAAACAUUCUGCUUUAGGCUUUCUGAGCCCUGUUCUGUCUUCUGAAAAAUGGGCAUGAUAAUAGUAAUUAGUGAUAAUCGCAGCUUUUAUUCCCUGGGUACGUACUGUGGGUGGAGACCCUACGGAAACAGAGAGCCUUCCAUUCACUAGUUCGGUGAAUCUUUACGACAGCUCCAUAAAAUAGUUACUUUUGUUAUUAUUCCUGUUUCACAGAUGAAGAAACUAAAGCUUAAAGAGUAUUUAUUGCUGCAUACAAAAGUGCCUCCGAAUAGUGGCUUCAAACACUAGUAUUGGUGCAUUUUGCUCAGGAAGGUGGUCCUUUCCGAGAGCCUCACAUGAGGUCACAGCCAGGCUGGGGCUGGGGCUGGAACCAUCUGGAAGACUGCCUCACUCACAUGUUUGGCCGCGGGGGCUGGGAGGAGGCACAGAGCCUGGAGGCCGGAUGAGAAGCAACGCAGCUGAGACCUCACCAUCACUCUGCGUGGACUCUCCGCGUGGUCUCUCAGCAUGGAGGCAGGCAGGACAGCUGCACUUCCCGCCCCACGCGUGGCUCAGGGCUCCAUUGCACAUGUCCCAGGACCUAGCCCUGGGGAUCUGUCUGCACCACCUUUUAUGAUGGAGCCUUGCCGUCCUGCUGUGCCACCUCUGGCACAUGGUUAGAAACAAGUGACAAAGGCCAGCCCAUAUAGGGAGGCAGGGACAGUUAGACUCCAACCAAACCUUCUGAUGGGAGGAGCGUGGAAUUUGCAGCCUGUUUUAAGCUACCCGAGAGGACUGUGCACAGGCCAGCUGAGGAAGCAGAGCUCUGGACAUCUGCACUCCUGGCCCUCUGGUGGUUCUGUUCCCCAGGGAAGGAAGCAGAACCGGGUGAGGUGCAGUGCUGCUGCUCGGCUCUGGAGAGGCCUGGGUGCCAGCCACCAGUGCAGACCAGGCCUCACCCUCCUCCCCUCCUCCUACAGCCACGUUGGCCUUUUUUUGGCUUCUAACGACGUUUGCCUCCAUGGGCACCUUCCUCCAUUAAGAAAAAAAAAAUGGAAAAUUGUGUCCUGUGACAUGUGAAGUGAUUAAGAUGAGUGUAGGAAUGCGAUAUGUUACUUUUUGUUUCCAUCCCAGACUUCAUUAUUAUUAUUAUUAUUUUUAAUUUUAGAAGAAACUGAAGCAUUUUCGUGGGCUCUGGGCCUGUGCUUGCGGCAUCUGACCGAGGAGCCAGGCCUGCCCCCCACCACCACCUGCAGGCCCUCUCCCUUUCCCCGCCCUGCACUCACUCCUCUCCCCUGCGCCCUGCUGCAGGCCAGGCUUCUCUUCCAGACCCUCAACCCCCAGGAGCUUCUCUGUACACGGAGUGAGCCCCAGGACGGCUCCUGUGACUGAGCCCCCUCUCCUGUCCUCCCUCCACUGGGAAUGGAUCUGCCUGGUGAGAAGGGACAACUUCACUGUCAGCUCACAGAGCCACACCCCCGCCUGUCUCCUGCCUUGUCUGGGCAGGCAGAGCUGCAGAGAGCCCUCUCUCCCAGUCCCUGAAAGCUGGAGACUAGUAGGGAUGGCGUCCAGAGGUGCCCCACCUUGGGGCAAGAACCAGGCCUCCCCAGCCACUCGUCCAGCUGGAAGGACUUUCAUCGAGCAGCCAAGCCCAGGGUUUGGGUUUCACAAGGGCCACCUGGUGUCUGUCCUCAUAGAACUUAGAGGUUCAGAAAGACCAUCCCCCCAAAAAAAUAAACAAAUAAUUAUAGACAAAGGGGGGUGUGAUAAGGAAUUGGCAUUUCUUGGAAACCAAAGCAAGGAGUACUGUGUCUGCAUAGGACAGUCACCAGAGGAAGACCAGGACACUUUCCCCUGGAGCCCGAGGUCCUGCCGUGGGGGACCUGCCCCACCUCUCUUUCUACCCACACCCCCACUUUGACUCUCUUGUUGAUCUUCUGAGCACUUGGCCAAAUAAUGGCCCCUCCCCACCUCUUGACCUUGGGGCCUGUUUCAUGACCUACAAGGUGGCUGUGGCCAGCCCGUGGACACACCCAGAUGAGGAUGUUUGUUUAAUGGAGAAACUGGCCCAAGAUUCUCCAGUUUUAAUCUUCCCUCGGUCUCACCCUCAUAUGGUAACUAACUUUUUUUUUUUAAAUGGGAAGAUCUUAAUAUUGGAAUUUGUUUAAAGUGAUUAUUUUAAAUUAAUUCGUUAAUUAAAGCUGAUUAAUUAAAGUGCACCAUCCUGAAUUUCUCAUUUGAUUACUAAGACUUUGGUCACGCACGUGAAAAUGGUCUGUGGCUCACAGAGGGGACCCACGACGUAGGAGGCCUGGAGGUCACUCAGCAGUAAUGGCAGAAGGUGGACAAGAAGGGCUGACCUGUGUCCGCAGCCAGCUGAGGUUGGGGUACAGGGAAGUGACAUGAAGCUAGCCUAUGAUUCAGAAAGAUGGCCCUUUGGCGAUGUGAACAGUGAGUAACAUUUGCAAAUUAGAAAUCUGUGCCGGCCAACACUUUAAGUAGAGCAAAGGGUUCGACUUGAACUGACUGACUUCAGAAGACAUGUCCCCCCAGCUGCAGCCAAAGUCCCUCCCUGCCUGGCCCCCAGGGGGUCUGGAAUGGAGCCCUGUGCAUUACUCACUUCUGAGUCCAAAGACACAGGCUGGGGCGGUUAUGAGAAGGACCUUGACACUGAGUGUUGAUUCUCUCCCUGGUGAAAACCACUGGCUUAUAGAAUAACUUCUGCCUUCUCUCUGUGGGAAUCAUGAAUGUUGUUUGUGAAGCCCUCUCACCGCGCAGUGGGAUUUAACAACUCUGUGAGGCGUGUGAGCGGGACUGAGUGGCCCAGUGUGACCAAUGAGGGAAAAGGCUCAGACUGUGGGGGGGCGCUUGCCCAGGGUCACAGCUCCUCGGGAUGGAGCAGGAAUCUGCACCCGUGCUUUCUGCAGCCAGUCACCAUCACGUGUCCCUCUUGUGGUGCCCUUAGUGUGCCUGCAGGUGGGAGAGUUUUCUGGGCUUGGCUCCGUGUGUGUCCUAGCUGGGUUGAGUUUCCUACCGUCGCUCUAAUACUACCAUAGCCUAGGUGGCUUGAAGAACAGAAACCUACUGCCUAACAGUGUGAAGGGCAGAAGUCCAAACCCACCGUGUGGGUGGGGUCACGCUCACUGCAGGUUCCAGGGGAGGAGCCUCCGUAGCCUUUUCCUGGUUCAUGGCAGUGGCCCCUGUCCUUGGUGGCCCUUGGCUUGUGCAUGCAUCAUCCCGGCCCCAGCCCCGAUCGUCACACGUGCCGUCCUACGUCCAGCUCUCCCUAUGAAGGCACCAUCAUUGGAUGUAGGGCCCACCCUAGUCCAGAUGAGCUCAUUGUAACUUGAUUACAUCUGCAAAGGUGCUGUUUCCAUGUGGGGUCACAGGUGCCAGUCACUAGGACUUGAACAUCUUUUGGGGAGACCCUGUUCAACUUGUUACUUGGAGAGACUGCUGGGGGGCCCUAGUGGGCCCUCAGCCAGAAGGUUCUCUGAGUAGUCCAUGCUGUCCCACCACAGAGUCUUCACUGUCCCCUGCUCAGGUCACUUAAUUCAGCCCUGUGUCCCCCCACCCUCCCCCGUCCUCUGCCAGCAUGGGCGUGAGUCUGUGCUGCCGGCUUGGAGCCCAUGGGAACAGGUUGUGCUGCUUUGGCAUCUGCUUGGGAUGCUGCCAAAGCCUGGGCACAGUGAGUGGGUGGCAGCUUGGACUCUGUGUGUACUGAGAAGCAGGGCCACCCCCGCCUGCAUAUGUCCCCUUCCUUGGGGCCUCUGGCUGCACUUGGUGUGUUAUCAAGUCAAGGUAUGGCUUGGACCUCAGGUGGCCAAGGGGCCGCUGUGUCUGGGGAAGCAUCCGGAGCUCAGGUGGACAGUGAUCGGCUUCUUCCCCACCAGGAGCCAAGCGUUGCUGGUGCAGGGCUGUCUGGCUGAGUCUGUUUCCCUCCAGCCCAGUGGGAGGCAUAUGGGAGUUUUCAUGUGUCUGCAGCCAGGGGACUCGGUGAGCGUCCCUUGGAUGAGUCUUUUUGCUCUCUGAGCACCAUGCAGGGCUGCUGUGGCAUUCAAUGAGAUGACGCCUAUUAAAACAGGGCCCUGAUAAAUGCCACCUGCCUGCACUGGAACCUGGGGGGUGCUUGGCCGAGGAGCAGAGUCCAAGAUGGCACCUCCCUCUGUCUGCUGCAGGAUGGUGCUCCGUGGCCCCCAUGGGAGCUGCUCACAGGAACAGGUGGUAGGCCUGGACAAGGAGGUGUUCCCGAAGGAAACUUCUUGCCCUUGCCAAUGCGUGCCUGAAGGGGCAUUGUGUUCCCCUUCCCUCCAGGCCGAGGUGAUAGUGGCCACUUGGUGGGGAGGUUUCUCGCUCAACACCAGAGAGAGGGAACAGGGGCCCUCUGGAAUCUGGUGAUGGUUUUAUGCUGAGGACUAGAGGAAACCUAAGAGGGUGGUGUGAAAGGGGAAAGGAACCGUCCCAUGGGUAGUAUGAGAGGCAGCCUGGGUCACCUGCAUGUGGAGGACAGGAAUCCAAGGUUUUAGGACACAGGAGCCUGGAGCAACCUGGCCAAAAAAUAUUGACUCCACGGCUCUUAAGGAAAAGUUUUCUGCAAAGUGGAUCCGGGGCAGCAUGACCCCUAACUCUUCUCAGUUCUGAGGGCUUGAAUCUGUCCUCACUUCCUGUGUGUGACUUUGAUCCCCAAAGCUGCCUGAUGACCCCCGAGGGCUUUGGCUGCUCCUGAAAGACCACAGGCUUUACCCAGCAGGCAGCAGAGGGCCGGGGGUAUAGCAGGUGCUCAGGUUACAAUAACAGAGGAGCCCUGGUGCCCAGGACAGCUUGCUUAAGCACUGGGAGUUCUCAGCAGAGCUGCAUGGUCCUCCUGGAGACAGUUUUAAAUGCUGGUGUCUGGGCCCCUCACUGUGUUAUGCUGCGGCAGGUCUGGGGUGGAGUCUGGGCACCAGUUUCUUUGAAAGCUCCCCAUGGAUGCUGCAUCCAGGGUUAGGUUCCCCCCCAGCUCCAGGGUGUGGCUGCCUUGUGUGGGCACUUGUCCUUCUCUAUUGAGUCUGUUUCACCAUUUGCAAAUGACCCCGUGGAGAUGAGUAGGUAGUGGUUCCAGUGAGUGCCAGGCACCCAGGGACACCUGGCUGCUGGCGAGUGCAAGUGGCAUGCUGGUUUUGCUCUGCUUUGAUGGACAGCGUUCGCUUGUGCUCAGGGAAGUCAGCAGAUUCCCAAGAGAGGGAAGAGAGGCGGCGGCUGCUGAUGAGAUGGUGUGAGCUGGGUUGGCCCUGGGCCAGGUAUGCUCUUCAGGUCCAGAGGGGUGUUGACAGUGUUUGCAAGAAUGCAUCUUCUCGGUGUAGGUUUCCUUUGGGUGAAAAAUGCCAUUUUGUCAUAAAUUCCUCUCCUUGAGAAGAGCCAGCGCAGGUGUGUUAAUGAGCUCUCACUGAACACACACUAUGUGCCACAUCUGUGCAAGGGCUUGGGGACCCUAAAUGAGUUCUACAAAUUAGAUGAAGUCAUGCCCUGUUGGAGCCCAUGUUGGAGUCAUGCCCUGUUGGUCCCCCUCCCCGGCGCCAUAACAGGAAAAGGGCCACCAGGGAGAGGUUUGUCCCUGACAAUCAGGGCUUCAGAGCCUGUGUGCAGCAGCGUGUGCAGGGGCCCCUGGCAACCAUCAUGCUCAUGGGAACAUUUUUUUUCUUGCUCCCAGUUGACUGAGAAAGGAGAUUUGGAACCAGGCCAGUGCCCUUCUGCCGGUGAAGAGCCCUGGGUCUGUAGAUUGUUGGGUUUCGACGUAAAGCAGAAAGUCCGCAAGGCCGUGCCUGAGAGAGCAAGCCUCCCUGCAAGUCCUGCUUCCCUUCGUACAUUGCAGAGCUUCGGAGAUUGUAACGAGGUGCCUGCCAGCCGCACAGCAACGUCAGAGGGGAUGUGGUGGCGUCCUAGGGAGGUUAGCCUGACGCGGAAGAUAAAGACAUUUGCAACCAAGAUGGUAAUCACCAGUGGAAAUGACGAGGACAAAGGAGGCCAAGAAAAAGAGAGUAAAGAGGAAAGUGUCCUGGCGAUGCUGGGCAUCAUUGGGACCAUCCUGAACCUCAUCGUCAUCAUCUUCGUGUACAUUUACACCACCCUGUGAAUGGCCCAGAGCCCCUGGGGGCCUCGGGAUGGCCUCGAGACAGGAGUCCUGUGGGUUCACAGGUCAGUGACCAGAGGCCGUGAGGACAGGAAGCUCGACCUACACACCCCGCUCCAUCCAAUGCACCCUCGAACUUUAUAAAAAGGUCACAAAUAAACCGAUCCUGCUGCAAGGAGCAGACACUAAAGCACAAUGAACCCAACAAAACUCAUUCACGCCACAAGGAACUCAGCGUCUUUGGCGGGGGGCCCAGGAGGAGGCUUGGAAGACCAGCCUUGGGCACCGGUGGUGAGCGCAUGGGUGCAGAAAUUCAUCAUCCCAGAUCGCUGACGACACCGUGCUGGAAAAGAUGAACGGGGCAGGCGCAGCUCAGCUGAGCAUCUCCCUGGACCAGCGUUCCCUCCGGUCUCCUUGAGCGGUCGAGUGCAGUAGACCACGGGGCAGUCCUCCAACAGGCAUCCCAUUCAUCACAAGUGUCUAACUAUUUGAUACCUGGGAGAUGACUUAUUUUUCUUUUUUCCAUUGGCUUGAUGUGUGUAUCUGUUCAUAUCAAGGUUUAUAAAUAUAUAUUUUUAAUAAAUGUGCUCUAUUUUUUAGCAUGAACCAAAUAUUUGGAGAGGCACUUCUAGAUGGAUAGUGCUUCCCUGCUUUUAACCGCUUUGCCCGCUCAUCUGCAAAAGUUCUUUUCUGUAUCCAUUCUAGUCCUCUGGUCUCCUGUUGAAUCUUUUACCUUUGCACUCUUGUUUCUCUCUCUCUCUCUCUCUCUCUCUCUCUCUCGUCAGGAGGACAUUUUUCCAUACUACCAACCAUGGUCUUUGUUGGUGCAUGUUGUAAGAGUGUCCAUUGAGCGGCUUUUUGUUAUACUGGAGAUAUAAAAUGAUCGUGGGCAUGCAGGCCAUAGAUGCACCCUAUCUGUACCGAGAAUUAUGCAUGAACAUUGGCUGAGUGAUCGGUGAGCUGUAAAGAAAUUUCAAAGGACUACCGUUGAGGAAGAGGAGUGUGGCUCUAAUGGCAGAUGGACUCCUGGACAGAACAUUCCAGCGUCUUACUGGCUGCGUUGUUAUCUCAUCCUCGUAACCAUUCGUUUAUCAGGUUUGGGUUUCCAGGACUGAGAGGUGGGAAGGGCCGAGGUGGGGGCUCAGCAUUGGGUGCCCUAGACAGACGUCCUGGUCCUCUUUAAAGCUGGCAGGGUAUAAAUGACAUACACCCUCCCUAUUGCGAGGACACCCUUGGGACAGCAGCCUUUCAAGGGCAGUAGAAGGAGGUUCCGUGAUGGCCCUAACAGAUUGCUGCGUUUCUUGGAGCUCUUGGUUUUCACCUACGUGGAGUACCUCCUCCCUGGCAGGUGGAGUGAUACAGACUCGCCCUCUUCUGGUUGCCCGUAUGGAGCCCUCGCCUGCCUGCAGUGCCUGGCCUUAAAAUGAGGGUCCCUGAUCUUUCUGCCAGUCUGCCUGGUUGACUUUAAAUGAUGCCAAGGAGGUCUCUGCCUCCUGUCUUCCCCUCCUUCCCGAAAUUCCACCAAUAGAGAACCAUUUCUUGGGCUCUGCCAAGGGACCAGACUCUUAUAAAGCAAAUGCCCCUGAGCACCUUUCCCUGACACCAAUUGAUCAGGUACCUUCCCUUCUCUUCUCCAGAAGGAGGGAAGCUAAGGUGUGUUGAGGCCACACUGGGUGCCAGGCAGGCACUUGGUAUGCAAGUCACGGAACCCUCCUCGUAGCCGCGUGAAAGAGGGAGUCUUUCCCCAUGUUGUAGAAGAGAGAUCGGGAGACUCCCCAAGAUCCUGGGGCUGGAGUGGAGUCAGAACUCCAACCGCCUUCCGUCUGGUUCCUUAGCUGAGUGAGGCCCAGGUGGCUGGAACAGAGAGGACGUGGAGGUGAGGAGGUCCCAGGAGGGUCAGGACUCAAAAGCCCGUCCUUCUGCUGAGGUCCAGCCCUGCACACCUCCCUCCCCCUCCCCAGUAAAAGUAAACCACCCCUGGGAGCUCCUCAGGCUCUAGCAGGAUGUCCCACAAAUCAGGACAAAAGGGUGGUGAGAAAUAAAAGAGCUGCCAGGGAGAGGGGCUCUCUGACCGGUGUGUGUGACUCUGGAAAGACCAUGUGAAAUUCCAACAGUGAACAGAUAAACAAUAAAGGUGCAAUGGAAAAAAAAAAAAAAAAA